rnacentral:rRNA from 1 species
UGAAUGGGGCAACCCGGCAUGGUUAAUACCGUGUCAUCCUUAUCUGAAUACAUAGGUUAAGGAAGCCAACGGGGAGAACUGAAACAUCUAAGUACCCCCAGGAAAAGAAAGUAACAACGAUUUCCUAAGUAGCGGCGAGCGAACGGGAAACAGCCCAAACCUUAUACGUGUCAAGCCCAAAAGCGUUGCGUGUAGGGGGUCGUGGGAUGAGAUUUGUCAGAGUUUUGGAUCUGGCGGAGAGUAAAAAAAUUCAUUAUUAGCUGAAGAAGCUGGAAAGCUUUAUCAUAGAAGGUGACAAUCCUGUAAGCGAAAAUAAUGGAUCUCUCUUAUUUUAUUCCCAAGUACUGCGGAACACGAGAAAUUCUGUGGGAAUUUGUGUGGACCAUCACAUAAGGCUAAAUACAACUUGACAACCGAUAGCGUACCAGUACCGUGAGGGAAAGGUGAAAAGUACCCCUGUUAGGGGAGUGAAAUAGUACCUGAAACCGUUUGCUUACAAGCAGUGGGAGCUUAUAAUUUAUUAUUUGUGACCGCGUGCCUUUUGCAUAAUGAGUCAGCGAGUUAUUUAGUGUAGCAAGGUUAAGUCGAUAGAUGUAGCCGUAGCGAAAGCGAGUCUGAAUAGGGCGACAAGUUGCACUGAAUAGACCCGAAACCAGGUGAUCUAUCCAUGUCCAGGGUGAAGCGAGAGUAAAAUCUCGUGGAGGCCCGAACCGUCACAUGUUAAAAAAUGUUCGGAUGAGGUGUGGAUAGGGGUGAAAGGCCAAACAAACCUGGAGAUAGCUGGUUCUCUCCGAAAUAUAUUUAGGUAUAGCCUUAUAAGUUUCUUGCCGGAGGUAGAGCACUGGAUGGGCUAGGGGUCUCACCAGAUUACCAAACCUAACCAAACUCCGAAUACCGGUAAGUUAGAUUAUAGGAGUCAGCCCGCGGGAGCUAAGUUCCGCGGACGAGAGGGAAACAACCCAGACCGCCAGCUAAGGUCCCCAAAUCUAUGCUAAGUGGAGAAGGAUGUGGGAAUGCCCAGACAACCAGGAGGUUGGCUUAGAAGCAGCCAUCCUUUAAAGAAAGCGUAAUAGCUCACUGGUCGAGUGGAUCUGCGCCGAAAAUGUAUCGGGGCUAAAGUGUAGUACCGAAGCUGCGGGAUGAAAUUUAUUUCAUCGGUAGGAGAGCGUUGUGCCGUCAUAGAAUCGUUUGCGUGAGCAAAUGUGGAGAUUGCACAAGUGACCAUGCUGACAUGAGUAGCGAUAAAGCGGGUGAGAGACCCGCUCGCCGAUAGCCCAAGGUUUCCUGAGUAAAGCUAAUCUGCUCAGGGUUAGUCGAUCCCUAAGGCGAGGCCGAAAGGCGUAGUCGAUGGAAAACAGGUUAAUAUUCCUGUACCACCCAGUUGUCGUUUGAGAGAAGGGGGGACGCAGGAGGGCAAGUCAUCCGUCUGUUGGAAUAGGCGGUUUAAGCUGGUAGGCUUAAGAUCUAGGCAAAUCCGGAUCUUUUUAAGGCCGAGAAGCGAUGAGGAGGGAUUUAUCCCAUAAACUGACUGCACCCAUGCUGCCAAGAAAAGCCUCUAUCGAGAUAACAGGUGAUCGUACCAAAACCGACACAGGUAGGCAGGGAGAGUAUCCCGAGGCGCUUGAGAGAACUCUGGUUAAGGAACUCGGCAAAAUGAUACCGUAACUUCGGGAGAAGGUAUGCCCUUGAAUGUGAUUAAAUUUACUUUAUGAGCGUUCGGGGGCCGCAGAGAAUUGGUGGUAGCGACUGUUUACUAAAAACAUAGGACUCUGCAAAGUCGCAAGACGAAGUAUAGGGUCUGACGCCUGCCCGGUGCUGGAAGGUUAAGGGGAUUUGUUAGCAUUUAUGCGAAGCACUGAACUGAAGCCCCAGUAAACGGCGGCCGUAACUAUAACGGUCCUAAGGUAGCGAAAUUCCUUGUCGGGUAAGUUCCGACCU